AUGGGGGGAACCCUGACCGAGCAACGCCGCGUGAGUGAAGAAGGUUUUCGGAACGUAAAGCUCUGUUGUUAAGGAAGAACGAGUGUGAGAAUGGAAAGUUCAUACUGUGACGGUACUUAACCAGAAAGGGACGGCUAACUACGUGCCAGCAGCCGCGGUAAUACGUAGGUCCCGAGCGUUGUCCGGAUUUAUUGGGCGUAAAGCGAGCGCAGGCGGUUAGAAAAGUCUGAAGUGAAAGGCAGUGGCUCAACCAUUGUAGGCUUUGGAGACUGUUUAACUUGAGUGCAGAAGGGGAGAGUGGAAUUCCAUGUGUGGCGGUGAAAUGCGUAGAUAUAUGGAGGAACACCGGUGGCGAAAGCGGCUCUCUGGUCUGUAACUGACGCUGAGGCUCGAAAGCGUGGGGAGCGAACAGGAUUAGAUACCCUGGUAGUCCACGCCGUAAACGAUGAGUGCUAGGUGUUAGGUCCUUUCCGGGACUUAGUGCCGCAGCUAACGCAUUAAGCACUCCGCCUGGGGAGUACGACCGCAACGUUGAAACUCAAAGGAAUUGACAGGGGCCCGCACAAGCGGUGGAGCAUGUGGUUUAAUUCGAAGCAACGCGAAGAACCUUACCAUGGUCUUGACAUCCC
rnacentral:rRNA from 1 species